UACGAAGGGGGCUAGCGUUGCUCGGCAUCACUGGGCGUAAAGCGCACGUCGGCGGCUUCUUAAGUCAGGGGUGAAAUCCUGGGGCUCAACCCCAGAACUGCCCUUGAUACUGAGGAGCUUGAGUCCGGGAGAGGUGAGUGGAACUCCGAGUGUAGAGGUGAAAUUCGUAGAUAUUCGGAAGAACACCAGUGGCGAAGGCGGCUCACUGGCCCGGUACUGACGCUGAGGUGCGAAAGCGCGGGGAGCAAACAGG
rnacentral:rRNA from 1 species